GGGAGCGACUUGGCUUCGACAGGAGUAAGUCUGCUUAGAUGGCAUGUCGCUUUGGACAAAGCGUAAAAAGUCCAAAUUAAAAUUAAACGCAAAUAACGUUAAAUUUGCUCCUGCUUACGCUAAAGCUGCGUAAGUUCAGUUGAGCCUGAAAUUUAAGUCAUACUAUCUAGCUUAAUUUUCGGUCAUUUUUGAUAGUGUAGCCUUGCGUUUGACAAGCGUUGAGGUGAAAUAAAGUCUUAGCCUUGCUUUUGAGUUUUGGAAGAUGAGCGAAGUAGGGUGAAGUAGUCAUCUUUGCUAAACAUGUAGAAGUCUUUGUGGGGUUAUUUUUGGACAGGGGUUCGAUUCCCCUCGCUUCCACCA
rnacentral:tmRNA from 1 species